rnacentral:rRNA from 1 species
GACGAACGCUGGCGGCGUGCCUAAUACAUGCAAGUCGAGCGAAGUUUUUCUGGUGCUUGCACUAGAAAAACUUAGCGGCGAACGGGUGAGUAACACGUAAAGAACCUGCCUCAUAGACUGGGACAACUAUUGGAAACGAUAGCUAAUACCGGAUAACAGUAUUUCUCGCAUGAGAGAUAUUUAAAAGUUGGUUAUGCUAACACUAUGAGAUGGCUUUGCGGUGCAUUAGCUAGUUGGUGGGGUAAAGGCCCACCAAGGCAACGAUGCAUAGCCGACCUGAGAGGGUGAUCGGCCACACUGGGACUGAGACACGGCCCAGACUCCUACGGGAGGCAGCAGUAGGGAAUCUUCCGCAAUGGGCGAAAGCCUGACGGAGCAACGCCGCGUGAGUGAAGAAGGAUUUCGGUUCGUAAAGCUCUGUUGUUAGGGAAGAAUGGAUAUGUAGUAACUAUACAUGUACGAGACG